GUCGAACGCUUUUUCAAUCAUCGUAGCUUGCUACACCGAUUGAAAAUUAGAGUGGCGAACGGGUGAGUAACACGUGGGGUAACCGUAGCCCAAAAAGAAGGGGGAGUAACACUUGGAAACAGGUGCUAAUACCGCAUAACCAUGAUGACCGCAUGGUCAUUAUGUAAAAGAUGGUUUCGGCUAUCACUUUUGGUAUGGACCCGCGGCGUAUUAACUUGUUGGUGGGGUAACGGCCUACCAAGGUAAUGAUACGUAGCCGAACUGAGAGGUUGAUCGGCCACAUUGGGACUGAGACACGGCCCAAACUCCUACGGGAGGCAGCAGUAGGGAAUCUUCCACAAUGGGCGCAAGCCUGAUGGAGCAACGCCGCGUGAGUGAAGAAGGUCUUCGGAUCGUAAAACUCUGUUGUUAGAGAAGAACAUGCGAGAGAGUAACUGUUCUUGUAUUGACGGUAUCUAACCAGAAAGCCACGGCUAACUACGUGCC
rnacentral:rRNA from 1 species